ACGACGUCCUGGUCCUCUCUAUCCAUUGGCCCCCUCCAACAUCUACCACGAUGACCACAUGUUGUUUGCGUAGCAGCAGCGGCGGCCAUCCAUGAUCUUCUUUUGUGCCGACCUGCUAGAAACAGGUUGGGCUAUAGACAACUAGAGAUUGGUCACCUGUCUAGCAGCUCAUUUCUGAAAACAAAGACCAGGUCUAUGUGUUCAAAAUCAUGAAGGAGGAUGUCAAAGUGUUUCUGCAGCGCAUCAGGCGGAAGAAAAAGCAACAUGAAGUUCCCGUCUACAUUAAACUGCUUUCACUUAUAUUCUGCCGAAUUUGUUCCAUCUAUAGGACUGUACAUGGAGAUUAUCUAUAAGGGUUGUGUCCCGUACAAGGAGAUUAUCUUAUAGGACAGGCAUAUCAGCCCCCAUUCAGACAUAGCAGAUAUUCAACAGAAGAAGUUCCUCCACUGCUACUGGCCAAACUCUAAGCAAAAAGACCUUCCACUUUCCUUGCUAAUGGUGAGCAACUCAAAGAUGGCUACAAGGUUACACUUAAUAUUUACUCUCUGAAUAACAUAUUAUUUAUUUGACCAAUACAUGUAUAAAUGCCUUGAGAAAACAUGUAUAUAU